AUUGAACGCUGGCGGCAUGCUUUACACAUGCAAGUCGAACGGUAACAGGCCGCAAGGUGCUGACGAGUGGCGAACGGGUGAGUAAUGCAUCGGAACGUGCCCAGUCGUGGGGGAUAACGCAGCGAAAGCUGUGCUAAUACCGCAUACGAUCUAUGGAUGAAAGCGGGGGACCGUAAGGCCUCGCGCGAUUGGAGCGGCCGAUGUCAGAUUAGGUAGUCGGUGGGGUAAAGGCUCACCAAGCCAACGAUCUGUAGCUGGUCUGAGAGGACGACCAGCCACACGGGGACUGAGACACGGCCCAGACUCCUACGGGAGGCAGCAGUGGGGAAUUUUGGACAAUGGGCGCAAGCCUGAUCCAGCAAUGCCGCGUGCAGGAAGAAGGCCUUCGGGUUGUAAACUGCUUUUGUACGGAACGAAACGGUCUGGGUUAAUACCCUGGGCUAAUGACGGUACCGUAAGAAUAAGCACCGGCUAACUACGUGCCAGCCGCCGCGGUAAUAC
rnacentral:rRNA from 1 species